UGUACCUUCACUAACCCAGAAUAUAAUGGUAUGUAGUUGCGGAUGAAUACCAAAUGAAGUGAUUUACAUAGCUUAUAGCUAGUUAACGAUCAAAAUGGAUGGUACAUAGAACCCUUAGCUACUCUAACAAGUCAAAACUAUUAAUAAAACUUUUGAAGCAAGAGAAGGUAUUCAAACUUACAAGUAUCAAAAACAAGGUACUCUUCUCCCCAACUUUGCCUCAAAAAAAAAACAUCUAAUUAGCAUCGUGAAACAUUAUCCCCAUUUUCACAACAAAAAAUCACAACCGCCAGCGAUGCUUCCUUCUCAACCGCCUGAACUUUACCCGUUUCAACAUCCUCAUCAGCUUCAUCGAAAGUUGGCAUGAUCGAGAGACUAUUUUUUUUUUUUGGUAAAAUGUUAAAUAUUAUACCAAUUUUCAAAAUUUUGUCAGAAAUCGAGAGACUAUUAUUGCCACUACAACACUUAACGGCUUCUAAAAUGUUAUCUUCACAGCGUGUUUCUUUGUCAUCAUCGUCUACGUGUUUGUCCCAUAACACGGCGUAGACUCCCACCAUUGAAACAACCAGUCCAAUAACCCUGAAAGUUCAAAUAUAAAUUCCGGUUUACAUUAAUUACACGAAUGAACCAAGACUAAACCAAAUAUAUAUCAUAAUGAACCGGUUGCUAACGUACCCUUCUAGGUAGAUUCCUUGGCCGAGAACGAAGAAGCUCAUUAUGGAGACAAUGACGACAACAAGAGGGUUAAAAGCAGUGACGAACACUGGUCCCUUUCUCUGCAUCAUAAGUCCUUGAACGUAGUAAGCUAUGCUCGACUACAUUAAUGGUUAACUAACCCCUACAAAAUAUUUAGUUUUAAUAUACUGAAACCUAUAGUAUUUAGUGUUGUUAUUCUAACCACAUUCAAUAUUUGUAUUAGUGUAUUCUAAACUCUCUUUCAUGGUAGAAGAGAAUCUUUAUUUUUUAUCAAUUAAUUUAGUAAAACUUCCUAUGCUCCCUAAAUCAAAUGACAAACCACAUUAAAAUCGCUAUUCUAGAGAAACAUAUACAACAAAGGUUCCAAACCACUCGGAGCAUCAUCAUAUGUUAAUUCAUGGUAUAACUAUGCAUUAAAACAAUAUUGUCAUAUUUUUUGAACUUUUCUUAAAAUCUAUAUGUUCCUACAAAAUAUUCAUUUUUCGGUAAAUAGUUAAUAUACUGAAGCCUAUAAUAUACAGUGUUGUUAUUCUAACCACAUUCUAUAUUUGUAUUAGUGUAUUCUAAACUUUCUUUCAUGGUACAAGAGAAUCUUUUUAUUUUUUAUCAAUUAAUUUAGUAAAACUUCAUAUGCUCCCUUAAUCAAGGGACAAACCACAAUAAAAUCGCUAUUCUAGAGAAACAGAGACAACUAAGGUUCCAAACCUCUCUGAGCAUCAUCAUAUAUUAAUUCAUGGUAUAACUAUGCAUUAAAAUAAUAUUGUCAUACUUUUUGAAUUUUUUUCAAAAUCUAUGUGUUAACCCCUACAAAAUAUACAAUUUUUUCGGUAAAUGGUUAAUAUGCAGAAGCCUAUAAUCUUUAGUGUUGUUUUAAAAUUUCUAGCCACAUUCUAUAUUUGUAUUAAUGUAUUCUAAUCUCUCUUACAUGGUACAUGGACGUAUUUCUACUUUUUUUUUAUCAAUUAAUUUAGUAAAACUUGAUAUGCUCCCAAAAUCAGUGGACAAACCACAAUAAAAUCGUAGUUCUAGAGAAAGGGAGAAAACAAAGGUUUCAAACCUCUAUGAACAUCAUCAUAUGUUAGUUAAUGAUACAACUAUGCAUUAAAACAAUAUUGUCAUAUUUUUUGAACUUUUCUUAAAAUCUAUAUGUUCCUACAAAAUAUUCAUUUUUCGGUAAAUAGUUAAUAUACUGAAGCCUAUAAUAUACAGUGUUGUUAUUCUAACCACAUUCUAUAUUUGUAUUAGUGUAUUCUAAACUUUCUUUCAUGGUACAAGAGAAGAACCCUACAUUUGUAUUAAUGUAUUCUAAAUUUUCUUUCAUGCUACAAGAGAAUCGUUCUAUUUUUUUAUCAAUUAAUUUUGUAAAACUUCACAUGCUCCCAAAAUUAGUAGACAAACCACAAAAAAAUCGUAAUUCUAGAGAAACAGACACAGCAAAGGUUCCAAACCUCUCUGGUCAUCAUCAUAUGUUAGUUCAUGAUACAACUAUGCAUUAAAAAAAUAUUGUUAUGUUUUUUUGAAUUUCUCUCAAAAUCUAUGGGUUAACCCCUACAAAAUAUACAAUUUUUCGGUAAAUGGUUAAUAUGCAUAAGCCUAUAAUCUUUAUUGUUGUUUUAAAAUUCCUAACCAAAUUAUACAUUUGUAAAUGUAUUCUAAAUUAUCUUUUAUGGUACAUGCUUAUCGUUAUAUCUUUUCAUCAAUUAAUUUAGUAAAACUUCAUAUGCUGCCAAAAUCAAGGGACAAACCACAAUAAAAUUGAUAUUCGUGAGAAACGGAGACAAUAAAGGUUCCAAACCUCUCUGACCAUCAUUAUAUGUUAGUUUAUGAUACAACUAUGCAUUAAAAUAAUAUUAUCAUAUUUUUGAAUUUUUCUCACAACCUAUGCGUUAACCCCUACAAAAUAUUCAGUUUUUCGGUAAAUUCUCUAUAUACUGAAACUUAUAAUCUUUAGUGUUGUUUUAAAAUUACUAACCACGUUAUACAUUUUUAUUAAUAUAUUCUAAAAUCUCUUUCAUGGUACAAGGACAUCGUUCUAUUUUUUUAUCAAUUAAUUUAGUAAAACUUCAUAUGCUCCCUAAAUUAGUGUCCAGAUCACAAUAAAAUCGCUAUUCUAGAGAAACGGAGUCAACAAAGGUUCCAAACCGCUCUGACCAUAAUCAUAUGUUAGUUCAUGAUACAACUAAGCAUUAAAAAAAUAUUGUAAUAUUUUUUGAAUUUUUCUCAAAAUCUAUGUGUUAACCCCUACAAAAUAUUCAGUUUUUCGGUAAAUGGUUAAUAUGCAGAAGCCUAUAAUCUGUAGUGUUGUUUUAAAAUUUCAAACCACAUUUUACAUUUGUAUUUAUGUAUUCCAAACUCUCUUUCAUGGUACAUGGGCAUCGUUCUAUUUUUUAAUAAUUAAUUUAGUAAAAAUUCAUAUGCUCUUUAAAUUAGUGGACAAACCACAAUAAAAUCGUUAUUCUAGAGAAACGGAGACAACAAAGGUUCCAAACCUCUCUGACCAUCAUUAUAUGUUAGUUCAUGAUACAACUAUGCGUUAAAACAAUAUUAUCAUAUUUUUGAAUUUUUCUAACAACCUAUGCGUUAACCCCUACAAAAUAUUCAGUUUUUCGGUAAAUGCUCUAUAUACUGAAGCUUAUAAUCUUUAGUGUUGUUUAAAAAUUAACAACCAUGUUAUACAUUUGUAUUAAUAUAUUCUAAAAUCUCUUUCAUGGUACAUAAGCAUCGUUCUAUUUUUCUUAUCAAUUAAUUUAGUAAAACUUCAUAUCCUCCCUAAAUUAGUGGCCAUGCCACAAUAAAAUCGCUAUUCUAGAGAAACGGAGACAACAAAGGUUCCAAACCUCUCUGACCAUAACCAUAUGUUAGUUCAUGAUACAACUAAGCGUUAAAACAAUAUUGUAAUAUUUUUUUUAAUUUUUCUCAAAAUCUAUGUGUUAACCCUACAAAAUAUUCAGUUUUUCGGUAAAUGGUUAAUAUGCAGAAGCCUAUAAUCUUUAGUGUUGUUUUAAAAUUUCAAACCACAUUUUAAAUUUGUAUUUAUGUAUUCCAAACUCUCUUUCAUGGUACAUGGGCAUCGUUCUAUUUUUUAUUAAUUAAUUUAGUAAAACUUCAUAUGCUCUUUAAAUCAGUGGACAAACCAUAAUAAAAUUGCUAUUCUAGAGAAACUGAGACAACAAAGGUUCCAAACCUCUCUGACCAUCAUUAUAUGUUAGUUCAUGAUACAACUAUGUAUUAAAACAAUAUUGUGAUAUUUUUUGAAUAUUUCUCAAAAUCUAUGUGAUAACCCCAACAAAAUAUAUAGUUUUUUCGGUAAAUGGUUAAUAUACUAAAUCCUAUAAUAUUUAGUGUUGUUUUAAAAUUUCUAACCACAUUCUAUAUUUGUGCUAAUGUAUUCUAAACUCUCUUUCAUGGUACAUUGACAUCGUUCUAUUUUUUUAUCAAUUAAUUUAGUAAAACUUCAUAUGCUCCCUAAAUUAGUGGACAGACCACAAUAAAAUUGCUAUUCUAGAGAAACGGAGAAAACAAAGGUUCCAAACCGCCCUGACCAUAAUCAUAUGUUAGUUUAUCAUACAACUAAGCUUUAAAACAAUAUUUUAAUAUUUUUUUAAUUUUUCUCAAAAUUUAUGUUUUAACCCCUACAAAAUAUUCAGUUUUUCGGUAAAUGAUUAAUAUGCAGAAGCCUAUAAUCUUUAGUGUUGUUUUAAAAUUUCAAACCACAUUUUAAAUUUGUAUUUAUGUAUUCCAAACUCUCUUUCAUGGUACAUGGGCAUCGUUCUAUUUUUUAUUAAUUAAACGUUUUUUACAUUUGUAUUUAUUUAUUCCAAACUGUCUUUCACUGUACAUGGGCAUCGUUCGUAUUUUUAUUAAUUAAUUUAGUAAAACUUCAUAUGCUCCAUAAAUCAGUGGACAAAGCACAAUAAAAUCGCUAUUCUAGAGAAACGGAGACAACAAAGGUUCCAAACCUCUCUGACCAUCAUUAUAUGUUAGUUCAUGAUACAACUAUGUAUUAAAACAAUAUUGUGAUAUUUUUUGAAUAUUUCUCAAAAUCUAUGUGAUAACCCCAACAAAAUAUAUAGUUUUUUCGGUAAAUGGUUAAUAUACUGAACCCUACAUUUGUAUUAAUGUAUUCUAAAUUUUCUUUCAUGCUACAAGAUUACAAAAUAUACAAUUUUUCGUUAAAUUGUUAAUAUGCAGAAGCCUAUAAUAUUUAGUGUUGUUUUAAAAUUUUAACUACAUUCUAUAUUUGUAUUAAUGGAUUCUAAACUCUCUUUCAUGAUACAAAAGAAUCUUUUUUAUCAAUUAAUUUUGUAAAACUUGAUAUACUCCCAAAAUCAGUGGACAAACCACAAUAAAAUCAUAAUUCUAGAGAAAUAGAGAAAACAAAUGUUCUAAACCUCUCUGAACAUCAUCAUAUGUUAGCUCAUGAUACAACUAUGUAUUAAAACAAUAUUGUCAUUUUUUGAAUUUUUCUCAAAAUCGAUGUAUUAACCCCUACACAAUAUUCAGUUUUUUCGGUAAAUGGUUAAUAUACUAAAUCCUAUAGUAUUUAGUGUUGUUUUAAAAUUUCUAACCACAUUCUAUAUUUUAACUAAUGUAUUCUAAACUCUCUUUCAUGGUACAAGAGAAUCGUUCUAUUUUUUUAUUAAUUAAUUUUGUAAAACUUCAUAUGCUCCCUAAAUUUGUAGACAACCCACAAUAAAAUCGCAAUUCUUGAGAUACGGACCCAACAAAGGUUCCAAGCCUCUCUGACCAUCAUCAUAUGUUAGUUCAUGAUACAACUAUGCAUUAAAAAAUAUUGUUAUGUUUUUUUGAAUUUUUCUCAAAAUCUAUGUGUUACCCACCCUACAAAAUAUUAAGUUUUUCAGUAAAUGGUUAAUAUAUUGAAGCCUAUAAUAUUUAGUGUUAUUUUAAAAAAUUUAACCACAUUCUACAUUUUUAUUAAUGUAUUCUAAACUCUAUUUCAUGGUACAUGGGCAUCGUUCUAUUUUUUAUCAAUUAAUUUAAUAAAACUUCAUAUUCUCCAUAAAUCAGUUGACAAACCACAAUAAAAUCGUUAUUCUAGAGAAACGAAGACAACAAAAGUUCUAAACCUCUCUGACCAUCAUUAUAUGUUAGUUCAUGAUACAACUAUGCAUUAAAUCAAUAUUGUCAUAUUUUUUGAAUUUUUCUCAAAAUCUAUAUGUAACCCCUUCAAAAUAUUCAGUUUUUUGGUAAAUGGUUAAUAUACUGAAGCCUAUAAUCUUUAUUUUUGUUUUAAAAUUUCCAACCACAUUCCACAUUUGUAUUAAUGUAUUAUAAACUUUCUUACAUAGUACAUGAGCAUCGUUCUAUUUUUUAUCAAUUAAUUUAGUAAACUUCGUAUGGUCCCUAAAUCUAAAUGAAGGGACAAACCACGAUAAAAUUGAUUUAGAUUAUUGUGAAAAAUAGCUUUAAAUGAAUGAUGCGAUGAAGGUAAUAGGUUUUUGAUUUUAAUAGGAAGUAGUUAAACGUUUUGAUUCUUCGUAUCUAAAUCAUAUAUCGAUUAGGUUUACAUGUUUGGUCGAUUAAGUUAAAUCUAUACUAUUAAAGCAGAAUCCCUUAUAAGAUUCUACCCUUACUUUUUAGAGUUAUUUACAUUGGAAUGCCAUUGCCAUUGAUUUAAAAUAAAUUUUUCAGCUAUAUUUUCAAAAGUAAAUUAGAUUUAUACUUAAAUUUCGCCUAAUUACUAUCUAUACUUAAUGUAAUAACCACUCAUUUAAUGUUUUAUCCGUUUCAGAAAAGGGUUGAUAUCUCUAUUAGUUAUAAACUUUGAUCUGCCAUUGCACCUCCUUAAUCAUGAGUCCUUGAUAGCAUAUAAUUUUUUUAAAUAUACAGCAGAUCUUAACGUCCAAAUUCUCAUGUAUACAUCAUUUUCUACUUGCUAAGCAGAUUAAGUGGGUUUGACAAAAAAAGGAAUAUUAAGACUUUAGCAAAUGUCUUAUUUACAAGAAUACAAAUACAAAUGUAUACACUAACAUUAACAUUUUUAAAUAGACACAUACUGUAUGCUGAUAGGUUCGAGGUUAGUAAGAGCAAAUAUUUUGUUUUAAGCAGAUUUCACAAUACUAUAACCACUAUUAUAAUAAAAAGUACAUAAAUUAAUAAAUUUUAUAUAUCAAUUCGAAAAAACAUAAUUUUUAAAUAAAUGAAAUUAUGAUGUAUACAUAUAUAUAUAUAUAUAUAUAUAUGUAAUUUAUUUUCAUUAUUAAAUCAACUUCAAUAUAUAUAGGUUUAUAAAAGAUAAGAAGUAUUACUAUGUAAGAUAAAGAUUAUCCUAAUUUUCCGAUUGAAUCACCCAAUAUUUUUUAAAUAUUUAACUUUUCCGGAUCUUUUUUCAAAAAAAUCCAAAAAUGUGAUUUUUAAUCAAAUUAUUCGAAAUUAUCUGAAAAAAAGUGAAUGGAAUUAGAACCGAACUGAACUCAAAAUUUUAUUGGAUUCCUAACAUUGUUAUCCAGAUCAAACUUAAAAAAACGAAUAAUCAAAACGAAACCAAACCCAAAUCAUGAAUAAUUGAACGGUUCCUACAUUUCUUGAACCAAAAAAUCAAAAACCACAUCCGAACAUAAAUCGAAAACCAAAAAAAAAUGGAACUGGACCGAAAACUGAACAUUCAUGUCUAAACAUAUUGGUGAAUAAAUAAGCGGGUUAAUAAAUUGUCAAUAAAAAUUAGGAUUAUCCUAAUUUCCCGACCGAAUCACCCAAUAUUUUUUUAAAUAUUUAAUUUUUUUGGAUCUUUUUUCAAAAAAUAUCCAAAAAUGUGAUUUUUAAUCAAAUUAUUUGAAAUUAUCUGAAAAGAAUGAAUCGAAUUAGAACCGAAUUGAACUCAAAAUUUUAUCGGGUUACUAACAUUGUUAUCCAGAUCAAACUAAAAAAAAAGAAUAAUCAAACGAAACCAAACCCAAAUCAUGAAUAAUCGAACGGUUCCAAUAUUUCUUGAACAAAAAAAAACUAAAACCACAACCGAACAGAAAUCAAAAACCAAAAAAAAUUUGGAACUGAACCGAAAAAUGAACGUUCAUGUCUAAACAUAUUGGUGAACAAACAAACGGGUUAAUAAAUUGUCAAAAACUAGGAUUGUCCAAUUUCCCGAUUGAAUCACCCAAUAUUUUUAAAAUAUAAAUUAUUUACUUUUUUCCUGUUUUUUUCUCAAAAAAUCAAAAAAUGUGAUUUUUAAUCAAAUUAUUCAAAAUUAUCUGAAAAGAAUUAAUCGAAAUUAGAACCGAAUUGAACUCAAAAUUUUAUCGGGUUCCUAACAUUGUUAUUCAUAUCAAACUAAAAAUAAUAAUAAUCAAACCGAAACCAAACCCAAACUCAUGAAUAAUUGAACGGUUCAUAUAUUUCUUGAACCAAAAAAUCAAAAACCACAGCCGAACAGAAAUCAAAAACCAGAAAAAUCGAAAAUGAACGUUCAUGUCUAAACAUAUUGGUGAACAAACAAAUGGGUUAAUAAAUUGUCAACAAAAAGUAGUCCUGCGCUUUGAAAGCGCGGGUCAAAAUUUAGUUGGUUCUCAUAUUUAAAGGGUUAGAUUUAUACAACAACCUCUUUUAAACAAUGUUGUGAACCAACACUUACUAUAUAUGAAACAUAGAAAAUUAAGAAAUACAAUUUGUUAUGUACCUUCACUAACCCAGAAUAUAAUGGUAUGUAGUUGCGGAUGAAUACCAAAUGAAGUGAUUUACAUAGCUUAUAGCUAGUUAACGAUCAAAAUGGAUGGUACAUAGAACCCUUAGCUACUCUAACAAGUCAAAACUAUUAAUAAAACUUUUGAAGCAAGAGAAGGUAUUCAAACUUACAAGUAUCAAAAACAAGGUACUCUUCUCCCCAACUUUGCCUCAAACAAAAAAAAAAACAUCUAAUUAGCAUCGUGAAACGUUAUCCCCAUUUUCACGGCAAAAAACCACAACCACCAGCGAUGCUUCC
rnacentral:lncRNA from 1 species